rnacentral:lncRNA from 1 species
UAUAUAUAUAUAUAGUGGAAGUGGCUCAAAAUCAACGGCUGAAAAUAAAAAUCUUACAAAAUAUGAUGAUAUGAUAUUAAAUUUUUAGAUCAAAGUUAUUGAUCUUGUUUUAUAUGGUAUAAAAAAUUUUCUAGCAAAAUUUCAUGUGAUUUGGAUAUUUCUACACUGUUAAACUUGCAAACGGCUCACCAUGGCCAUUAAAAUUAUUAAUUUUGUGCCCCUUCGAUCACUAGGCAAAUAAUAUCGAAAAAAAUCACAAAAUUUAUUUUCUAGAUACUUCAAAUAUUCUAGAUCAACUCUAACAGAACUAAUCGUCAAUUCGAAAGUCCGAACAUCGAAAACAACUUGGAAGUACGGAAGGCUCCGUGCUUCCAGAAGCAUACCAGCCCACUCCAAUAUAUUAUU